rnacentral:rRNA from 1 species
CGUGCAGGCGGCUUGGUAGGUUGGACGUGAAAGCUCCUGGCUCAACUGGGAGAGGCCGUUCAAUACCGCCAGGCUUGAGGUCGGAAGAGGGGAGUGGAAUUCCCGGUGUAGUGGUGGAAUGCGUAGAUAUCGGGAGGAACACCUGUGGCGAAGGCGGCUCCCUGGUCCGCACCUGACGCUAAGACGCGAAAGCGUGGGGAGCGAGCG